CUCAAGCCACAAAUUUUGACCAAACAUAUUUGACCAAGUCAAAAUAGCUUCCAUUCCUUCUUGUUUCCAUUCAGCUUAACCGACAGCCAAUUUCCCCUUUCUUCACUUCAUGUUGGAGCCGAGAGAGAGAAGAGAGUUGAGAAAAAAAAACUUCAUCCUCUCUUUCUUAUCAUCAGCCAAGAGUUAAGGCUGAUUUAGCCAUGGUAAUUCCACAAAAUCUCCCUAUUUCGUCAAGCCUAAACCAUGAGUGAGAAAGAGACAAGAAAGCCAUAUUGGGAGGUGAAGAAAACGGAGGAAACCUAGACCGAAGGAGAAGGAAGUGGACAGUCUGCAUUUUUUUUUUCAGCUUGCUUGAACCAUGGAGGAAUCAAGAAGGUGAGCCAACUUCUAGCUUGAUUUGUAGCAGAAAAAUAAGGGUACGAGGAUGACAAGGACAAGAAUAGUGCUAGUUGUAAUAGGAAAUCUUAAUCUUGUAUUUGGACGACACUGUAUUAUGGUAUUAGUUUACAAGUUCUUAUCUUUUGGUCUGUAUUUUGGUUUGUAUAUUCGGAUGAUUGGUAGCAUGUAGAGGUUAUAUUGAAGAGUUUUAGCGUUAUUGAUUUGCUAUCCAAAGAAUAAGGAAUUCAAACAUUGUAGUCCUUAUUUUAAGUAAUUGCAAUCCUAUUUAUACUUAGAGAAGUGAUUGAACUA